GAAGUGCUUCGGUCAGGCAGUAUCUUUGAAAAUAAUUUGGCCAAUGAAAGCCCUGGCAUUGGAUGAAAGUGCUAGCUGCUGGGAAUGCUACCCCUCCUUUUGGUUCUCUUUCAAGUCCUUCAGGUUCAAACAAUACAGAAGUGUAUAAAGUAAGAAUUGAAAGUCUCUUCGCUGCUCUAAUCUCACUCCUCAGAGGUGAUCACUGAUUAUCAUCCCAGAGCCCUCCCUGAAGCCCACACACAGCUUCUUCAGGAAAUGCUGACAGCAUGGACCUGAGUGAGCAGAAGGCUUUUCAGAAUUACAGCCUGAACUAUUUCUUGAGCAAUUUGGGAACUCAUUUCUAAAGCAGUCCUCAGAUUCACACAACGUAGUUUGUGACGGAGUAUGCCCAGAGCAGCUGUCUUGUUGAUGGGGGUGCACCCUGACGAAUGGUGUGCUGGCAAAGAUUUAACAAAAGGCUCCAGAGGAGGGCAGACUUGAAGUGGAGCCUUCAGUGGGCAGUGUGAAGGGUGCUGAUUUCAAACAACUCAUCUGGUAUGACUGAACAUGAAGUUGGGAAGAGAUGUGCAUAAUUGAAGUGGGUGAGAGCCAGUCCAGCACCCUGCAGAGAGUGUGGAAGAUGAUCAAAGUAUGACAUUUCUUCUACCCCAGAGGCUGGCAUUUCUGCAGGCACAAAUGAGCUUGGUUUUCAAGCACUGCUCUUUGAACACAAGGAAUUCCUUUAAUGAUCACGCCGGACUAUAUAGACUUUGGAAUCAGACUCUUUGAAUUCCAGCUCUGCCAUUUACCAACUUU
rnacentral:lncRNA from 10 species